rnacentral:tmRNA from 1 species
GGGGGUGAAAUUGGCUUCGACGGGGUUAUUUGUUCUUUGAACUGCGCACCGUGUUCUCCGUAGACACGCUAAACGACGGAACAAAGUCGAGACGACGACUAUAACUACGCAUUAGCUGCUUAAUUUGUAAGUAGCCGUUCGCCUAAUUUGUGUGUGCCGAAAUUAGGAUGAACGCCGUUAGGUGCACUAGUGGAUUCGAGUUCUCUGGUAGAUGAAGCGAAAUUUUAACGGAGAUAGAAAAUUAAAACCAUGUUUGUUUGGGUUUGGUUUUUGAAAUUUAAAUAAUAAACUAUGUGUGUAGACGUUCACUGAAAGGUAUCUUCGGACGCGGGUUCAACUCCCGCCACCUCCACAA